rnacentral:lncRNA from 1 species
GGCUCUGUCCUGCCCACCAGCACUAUGAUGACGAGGAAGAAGAGGAUGAUGAAGAUGAUGAGGAUAGUGAAGAGGACUCAGAGGAUGAUGAGGAUAUGCAGGACAUGGACGAGAUGAAUGACUACAAUGAGUCACCGGAUGAUGGAGAGGUCAAUGAGGUGGACAUGGAAGGCAACGAACAGGAUCAGGACCAGUGGAUGAUCUAGGUAGACAAGGCAGGGUGGCCUCAGGGAGAUUCCAGGCCAGCCCAAACUACCCUGCAUCCCAACCCCCAACCCCUGCCCACAGAACCAGCUGAUGGCCCCAGUGCCUGAAAGUGCCCUUGGGCACCUCCUCAGCUGCUGCCAGGAUCUGGUCUCUUUGGCCCCUCCCAGGCCAUCAGUCUGCACUUGAAAUCCCCAGGGCCUGAAACCUACUCCACCUUCCUGGCCAGUACCUCACCCCUUGAUUGCCAGGUCUGGUCUAAGUUUCUUUAAUAAAGACAAAGGAGUGAUUUUCCA